CCUACGGGGGGCAGCAGUGGGGAAUAUUGCACAAUGGGGGAAACCCUGAUGCAGCAACGCCGCGUGGGUGAAGAAGGACUUAGGUGUGUAAAGCCCUGUUAGUAGGGAAGAAAAUGACGGUACCUGGCCAAGAAGCCCCGGCUAACUACGUGCCAGCAGCCGCGGUAAUACGUAGGGGGCAAGCGUUAUCCGGAUUUACUGGGUGUAAAGGGUGCGUAGGCGGGGUGGCAAGUCAGAUGUGAAAUCCUGGGGCUCAACCACGGGAGUGCAUUUGAAACUGUCAGUCUGGAGUGCAGGAGAGGUAGGCGGAAUUCGUGGUGUAGCGGUGAAAUGCGUAGAUAUUAGGAGGAACACCAAUGGCGAAGGCGGCUUACUGGACGGUUACUGACGCUGAGGCUCGAAAGCGUGGGGAGCAAACAGGAUUAGAUACCCUUGUAGUC
rnacentral:rRNA from 1 species